AGACAAGGCUGACACAGGUGCAGGAGCAAAUGAUGCCUACAGCGCCUGUGCUGAAGCUCAUUCAAGAGGUGGAGACACGCUGGAACAGCACCUUCCACAUGUUGCAACGAGUGUACAACCUCUACAAAUUAGCUAUAACCUUUCUCUGUACCCCAGCCUCAUCCGUCCCUUGUGAAAGACUAUUUUCAAAAGCAGGAGAAAUCCUAUC